UUAUACUUAAAUUCAUAAAAUGUGUGAAAAGUACAUCAGGUUCAGUGGCGCUUUUGGGCGUUAUCGUACUUUCUUAAUUUUAAUUUAAAUUUUCUUUGACGUUACGAUUUAGUUGAAGAAUGCGAAUUUAGGAAAGAAACGACGACAACUACAAAACUACAAUUAAAGCGCUGCUUUCUACAUGGGGGCUUGCCAUACUGCCCUAUGUUAAGCAAACGCCGAACCACCUACUACCUGAAUUCUACAAUGGUACUUAAGAAAAUAUAUAAGUAUUUACAUAUGUACAUAUGUAUGCUCAUGAAAUCGUAAGCGAAAAGUAACGGUCAAGCAUCGCAUUUGUUUUCGUUAUUUUUUGGAAAGGGCAUAGCAGAAAUUGAAAAAAAACUUCGAUUGCUGUUUGGUUGCGCGGCUUCAAUGCACCGAAUUUAAUUUACAAAAUUAAUAAUAACACAAGAACCGUUUGUUUUAUUUUGUUUUUAGCGUUUUCGCAAUGCUCAAGCGCAGCUGUGUUUGCCGGUUGACGGGAGAAGUGGGGCAAGCGCAAUUUUAUUAGGAAUACAUAAUAUUCUUAUAUUACAACAGGCGACUUUUAUACAAUAAGUGAAGGAAAAUAUGUUGGACAGCCUAGAGAGGAAAUCUAAGCAACUGGAGCUUUUUUUAACUGCGGUAACACAGCUGAAACAAAUUAUAUAUUAAAUCCCUUUAAUCACUAUCCAAGUGUGGUGAUACUAUCGGAUGUUCGUUCCUUACGGUGUACACUACCAAAAUUUUAAAAAAUGGUGGUCUGAGCAUUAUGUUAUGGGCUUGCUUUUCGUACUAUGGUGUAGUCUUCCAUACUGGUAAAUGUUUAUAAUAAGGACGUUUGAACUGGAUAACGACUCAAAACAUACGAGCAAACUAGCUAGAGUCGUUUGCAUCAAAAAGGAUCGAAGUAUUGUUCUGGCCAGCGCAGGCACUGGAAAAGAAUUCAAUCGAAAAUGUUCAACUUACGCUGGUGGUCAAAGAGGCAUGGGCGCGAAUCCUUAAAAGGCGAGAUUUUUCCGUUUUAUGGUUAGAACCCACCGUCACUACUAUUUCCAUGAACACAUCUGUAUAUUCUCUCUGGAAAUUUCGAGGAAAACUUCGUAUAUCCUGUUCAGGAUAUAAAAACCCACAUUACCUUCACCAAUUCAUGAAACAUUUCGCCAUAAAAAACACAAUUGUUGGAGACAUUAAUGUUAGAAUUGGUCAGUAUAUUGCAUUAAAAUUAGUAUAUCCGAACUUACACUGCUACCAAUAUGAACAAAACUUAAUAUAAGUAUAUAAGUACAUAUCUCUAA